AAACCAGUGACUCAACUGUGUUUCUCCACAAGGCUCUUCCAAGGACGAUGCUCAAGAAAGGAUACCAGCGUCCGGUCACAGGGCCAGGUCCCCCGGCUCCCUUCAGCUUAAGAGGCGAGAAAGUUGGGUCUGAGAGAAUGGAACGUCGUGGUGCCCACGGAGGCUGCGAUGUGCUGUGUAGCAUCAGAGACACAAUCUCACUGCAGUCUUGAGAUGUCAGGGGAGAAACUUCAUUUGAUCCUGCUAAGCUUACAGAGUACAGAUGGAGAGAAAGACUAAAACUCCAGGCUGACAGCGUCCCGUCAACUUCCAGUCAUUGUUCCAUCUGCGAGCGUUGCUUCUGGCAGAGACCUGUUCCCCGGCAACAGUGCUUCCUGCUUACUGAGCACCCUGGCACUUCUCGCCACCUUGUUUCAGCUUCAUCACACUCUGCAAGGUAGGUUUUAUGUCCAUUCAAGAAAUGAAGGCAGUGAGCCCCUGAGAGCUUUGGAAAGUGACGGCAGACACAGGAGAAGAGCCCAGGUCGAAGCCCAAGGCUGUUGAUGCCAAAGCUCGUGCACCUUCACCUCCUCCUCUGCUGUCUGUCACAGGGCGAGGCAGACCUCGGACAGGACGUGUGACCCAGGUGAGUGCCUAUCAGCUACCCAUGAAUCCUUCAAAAGAGAAUUUCAGUCUCAAAUUAUGAAAAUUGUGUGAGGAACACCUGAGUAGACCGCCUUUGUGAAAUGUAUAUAACUUGGGGAGAACGAAGACGAAGGAACGGGUUUUCUCGUCUUGAGCAGAAUCAGGCCAAUAACUUGAUUUCCUUCCCAGAGGGUUUCCAUCACUUCCCUCGCCCAGAGCAGAGCCAUCUCCCACCCUCAGGCCGCAGAAGGGUCCCCAGCCCAGGUCAACCAGCUGCCUUGAUAGAACCUGCUCUACUGAGUUUCUGCUGGUCCUCAGUUUCCCCAGAAUUUCCAUUCCUAAAGGGCUUUGGGGCAGCAGUCUUAACUGAAAGAGGCCGCUGAAACUCCAGUGUUACGGCAUUUUGCAUAAAAUGGAAGAAGCGUGAUCGUCUGCAUCAAAGGAGGGUGGGAGCCCCAGACCUCCCCACUGGAGGCCUCUGCUCUCACCUCUGCUCCCCUUCCUCUGCCCACUGCUCUGUGUCCUCCCUGGGGGCCCCUGUUCCUCUUGUCCAGCUGUUUACGCUCUCAGACUUAAGAAGUCAAAGGAAAAUGAGGUCAGAGUUCACAAGCACCACCAGGCUCCACCGCGGCCCCAGCUCUGUUUUUUUUUCUGGAAAACAGAUGGCUCAGCCGGUGGUGAUGGACAAAACCUCAAAGAAGGGGUCUGCAUUGCCUGUGCGUCUCCACGCACUCUGCAGGGGGGUCUUAAGUUUCAAUCAUCGCUGAUCUACAUGAUUUUAUUAUCAGACUGUCGUGGACACAGGCUAAGGGCACUCAGACUGUGCUCCCAGCUCCCCCCGGCGGCCGCCUCCUGUCCCCUUCGGCUCGUGCAGGAGGAGGGGAGAGGCUGGUCCAGAACCCCCUGCACCACCACCACUGUGGCAGGGCUGAGCCACCACCUCCUAGCAGCCCUGCAGCCUCGGACAAGCACUGAGCCUCCAGGCCUCGGUGACCCUGGUGUCAGGGGGGGCAUUCAUCUCAGAGAUGGGAGUUGUGAGGAAUCCUGCAAGGUGCUCAGCUCAGCACGGGCUCCAUCCGUGACCGUCUCCUGUUUCUCCCAAACGGCCAUGUUCGAAUGUCUCUGCUGCCAAGAGGCCUGAGAGUCAUGGUGUCCGGAUUUAAUACACGCUGACACCAUCUGGGAAAGGGUUAAAGCCUGAGCUUGUUUCCGCAGCUGACCUCUGCCGGGACCCCGCAGAGACGCAGGCUCCUGGGGGCCAGCCUCACGCAGAUGAACAUCUUCAUUCAGUUCCGUCUGCAUCAUCCAGCCCCAUGCAGGCCCUUCUCCCACCUGCUUGACCCUGACGUCCCUCUGUGCGAGGGCGAAGUUCUUCAUCCUUUAAUUGGAGAUCAUGCUUCAAUCGUAAAGUUUCCCGCUCUGCGCCCCCCCUCUGCCCUCUGCCCUCUGCCCUCUGCCCUCUGCCCCAGCACUGUGAACCCAGAUGGCCAUUUCCUUUUUCCUAAAACGAGCCUCAUGCCCACUGUUGUAAAUGCGGGGCAGGUAGAAGGCUCGGGGUGGGGCUGUGUGCUGAGCAUCCUUAUCUGAGUGUUUAGACACAGCUGGCAGAUCCCUGUUCCCUGUUGCCCCUUCUAAGAGAGAGCAGGGGAGGGUCCUUCUCUCGCCUUGGCCCAGGUAACCCCACUGGCACAUAAGCAAUGAGCAUGACCCCACAGGAGCAGAAGCAAGGGGACCAGCCAUGCCUGGUCCUACGAGGAAGCUCGGAAGAGAGGCUGACGAUUGUGUACAGGCGGUACAAGGACGAAAACGCUGUCUCCGUGGAAGGUCCCAGAUUUUCUCCAGGCCAAGCCUGAAGGUCUCUUUGUUAGUGAGUCCAUAGUGAUCAAAGCAGAGAUUAAAGGCAGAAGGACCCUGAGGCUGGCUCCACAGAGUGAGCAGGGGGCCCCAGGCCGGGGAGGGUGGGGACACAGCACCGGGCUCCAGUCAGAGGGGCAGACAUGCCCAUUCCCGGCGAGCGCAGCAAUCUGCGCGGGUUCCAGGCCCCUCCUCUCUCUGAACCUCUAGCAGGUCGCCUUGGUAGGGUGCGAAGAAUCUCGGUUUCCCCGCAAAAGCCAGGGGAGUUGGGGAUGGAGGUGAGCAGUUUAAAGACAUUCAGGGACCAGAACAACCGGGGGAAUAGUAUGUAUUUUUCUGAACAGCUUUUAAAGAGGGUUUCACCUCGUGGUAAAACUGCAGACGCCAUCUGGACAGGCAAUGAGCCUGAAACGCAGUGGAGGGGAUUUGGUUCUGCACCUUCACACGGGGCAGAGCUCCUCGUGUCCACUUUUUUUUGGGGGGGAGGGGCGGCAGGAGGGCUGUGAAGAAAUGCAUGCUGCACAGAUAAAGGAAUGUCCGGCAUUAAAUGACAGGAGAAAGUGAUGAUUCUGGAGCCCUUGCAGGUACAGUACAAAUUUGAUCACCAGGCCCUGGGGCAGAGCGGCCUCUAAUUUUAGCCGCUGCCACUUGUUCCUUCACUGCCCCCCGCCCCCGACCCCUGCCCCAACUUUCCCCACAGUGAAGAUUGCAAGGAACAGCUGUUUUGGGUUUAGAAACCCUCUAUCCUGCUUAUCAGAUCUACUUUGCCAUUGGUUGAGACUAAUACAUGCGAUGUCAAGGUUUAUCUUUUAAUAAAAAGUACAGUUAAAUUCAUUUUUUCUUCCAAUUUUAAUAAGAUCCUUUGAGAUGACUUUUGUUUGGUAAAACCACAUUGGGAAUCACUGAUAGAGUGUGUGUUUGUUGACUUCUUUUCUAAGUUUCUUCUUCUGGAGAAAUGUUUGUUUCAGAGGAUCAUGGAUAUAGUUCUGCAAUCCCUCAUCCACAAUUGGAAAACCCAAACAGCUCUGAAAACAGGAAGUGUUUGGUAACACAUUUGGCAGCAAAGCCUGACCUGACCUGAAUGCUUUCAAAGUCAAAACCUGACCUGAGUUGCAUGAGCCUGUUUUAGUUUAUCCCACAAGUGGUGUAAAUGCAAAGACGCUUUUCUGGAGAAACAUUAAGGUGCUUUAUUCCACAGUGUUGCCCUAGACCCCAUUUUUACAUGCUAUAUGGUAUAUUACUGUCCUAGAAUCUGAAAGAAAUCUGAAUUCUGAAACACGGCUGGCCUCACGAGUUUCAGAUUAGGAAUUGUGGUUCCGUAGACAUUUGUUAAAUAAAUGACCGAACGUCCUAAGGGCUUCACGAGGGCAUGUUUAUUCUGCUCACCCAGGCCAGCUCUGCAGCGAUGGCUCUAGCCUUUCUGUCACCUCAUCAGACCUGCAUCUGUGGGCCUGAGGUGCCCACAGCUUCCUCUGUUUCCUUUGUGGUGUGAGGGGAUGAGUGGAGGUUUCACCACAUCACCUGCUCAACCACUUGCCCCUCCCUUCAACCACCAAAUAUGUGUUAAGUGUCGCCACCAUGCGCUAUGUGAGCACAGAAAGGCAAAGCAGAGUGAGACUCAGGCUCUGACCUUUCACGACUCCUGUUCGUACAGAGAACAGAUCGGUGGUUGCCAGAGGUUGGGAGGGGCAUGGGCAGUGCAGAAGGGGGUGAAGGGGGUCAAAAGGGACGCACUUGCAGUUAUACAAUAACUAAGUCCUGGGAAGUACAGCAUGUGACUACAGUUAAUAAUACUGUGUUGCAUAUUUGAGAGUUGCUGAGAGAGUAGACUGUAAAAGUUCUCAUCACAAGAAAAAAAAUAUUAUAACUAUGGAUUCUGAUGGAUGAUAACUUACUGUGGUGACCGUUUAGCAAUAUAUACAAAUAGCAAAUCACUGUGUCAUACACCUGAAACUAAUAUAAUGUUAUAUGUCCAUUAUAUCUCAAUAAAAAUAAAAUUUUAAAAGAAAGUAAAAACCACGAAUAAAAUAAAAAUAACUCCUAUUUGUAAUAUUAAUGUGAUGAAAGCAGAAUGUUAGAAAUCUAAACUAUCUUCUCUUGUAUAAAAUGGUCAUUCAUUCGUUCCAGCACACAUUUAUUAAAUUCUCCACUCGGCCAGGCACAAAAAGAGGACAGACCUCGUUGGGGCACUAAGUCUAGUGGGAGCCUGAUGCCCGAGGAGCAUUUACCCCUCGGCAGCCAUCCUCGCGCAGUGGGGAGAAAAUGCCCGUCUCUGGCCAGAGAGCUUCGCCAAAGGCGGUGCUCUCUGAGCAGACGGGGUGCUUACUUAGGAGAGAACCAGGGCAAGGGUAUCUAAGGAGCAGGCAGAACCCGUGCAAAGGCACUCAGACUGGACAUCAUUGGCGCGUGGGGCAAGAGUCCACUGGGAACGUCUGCAGGUCAAGAUGCACGUGGAGAAAAAGAACAUUUCAAAAGUUUUAAAAUGGUACAGAUGAACCGGUUUGCAGGGCAGAAAUAGAGACACAGGUGUAGAGAACAAACGUAUGGACACCAAGGGGGGAAAGCGGGGGGAGGGUGGUGGUGGUGGGAUGAAUUGGGAGAU